UACCGUCAGAUAGCCUGCAUCUUUUGAUCUAAGUAGGCGUGGCGGAUCAUAUAAAACCAAAAGCUCGCUUAGAUACUGUGGCGCAAGACCAUUUAGUGCUUUAUAGGUUAAUAAAAGUAUUUUAUAAUUAAUGCGACACGGUCCCUUGAUAGCCGCAUAUCCGCGAAUAUCGAACAUCCAACGUCACACCAACUUUAUUCCAGUUCUCCGCCCCGUUACUCGCUCUUCACUGAAACUAGAUGUAGAGGGAGAAGUUUGAACUCCGAGUGGAGUAGAAGUAAACAGAGUUUUUAACCUUCACACGUUAUUGUGAUUAGGUACCUGGUUAAUUCCUCACCUGUGCAGUAUCUGAGACAUGGAGUCCUGCAGGGUUCCUCACCAUGUCCUGCUUUUAAUCAUCCUGAUGUUCAUCACAGUAUCUGAAUCAGCUUCCACUGCUGUAUGGGUGAAGUUUAAUCAGGCUGCUGAUCUGCGCUGUGAAUAUAAAUGUUCUGGUUUGGCCAAAUGGACACUGAUCAGUGACCGAGAUGAUGUAGUGGCAGAGUGUGAUCAGACAUCCUGCAGGUCAUUAAAGGAGGGAUUUAAAAUGUCCCAUGAUCGGUACCUGAAGGGAAAUCUCACCCUCACCAUCGCUGCAGCUGAUUUCAGUAAGAGGAACACGUACACGUGUGAGU